rnacentral:SRP_RNA from 1 species
GCCGGGCAUGGUGGUGCAUGCCUAUAAUCCCAGCUACUUGGGAGGCUGAGGCUGGAGAAUCACUUGAACCCAGGAGGUGGAGGUUGCAGUGAGCUGAGAUUGCGCCACUGCACUCCAGCCUGGGCAACAGAGUGAGACUCUGUCUCAU